rnacentral:rRNA from 1 species
UACGUAGGGGGCUAGCGUUGUCCGGAUUUAUUGGGCGUAAAGAGCGCGUAGGCGGCCGAGUAAGUCCGACGUGAAAUCUGGAGGCUCAACCUCCAGCGGUCGUUGGAAACUACUCGGCUAGAGUCCGGAAGAGGAGAGUGGAAUUCCUGGUGUAGCGGUGAAAUGCGCAGAUAUCAGGAAGAACACCGAUGGCGAAAGCAGCUCUCUGGGACGGUACUGACGCUGAGGCGCGAAAGUGUGGGGAGCGAACAGG